UUGGCGGCAAGAUAGCCCCUUAGAGGAACCUGCCCUAUAAACGAUGAACCACGAAAAACUCUACUUUUUUUAGUGAACAGUUUGUAUAUCGCUGUUGUCAGUUAGAUUCUCGAGAAUAUUUUCAUUCAUGAUAAAUUCAUCGACUUCAAGUAAAGGUGCAGCUUAUAAAAAAGAUAGAGGUGGGUUACAUUUAUAAGAAUAAUACGGAUAAGAUUUAUGAAAUAAUCUUUGAAGGUGGAUUUAACUGUAAAACUUAAGGAAGUUUGGUGAGAGCUCUAUCUUGUGUACACA
rnacentral:rRNA from 1 species